rnacentral:rRNA from 1 species
GACGAACGCUGGCGGCGUGCUUAACACAUGCAAGUCGAACGAUGAACCGGUUUCGGCCGGGGAUUAGUGGCGAACGGGUGAGUAACACGUGGGCAAUCUGCCCUGCACUCUGGGAUAAGCCCGGGAAACUGGGUCUAAUACCGGAGACGACACUCCGAGGCAUCUUGGGUUGUGGAAGGUUCCGGCGGUGCAGGAUGAACCCGCGGCCUAUCAGCUUGUUGGUGGGGUAAUGGCCUACCAAGGCGACGACGGGUAGCCGGCCUGGGAGGGUGACCGGCCACACUGGGACUGAGACACGGCACAGACUACUACGGGAGGCAGCAGUGGGGAAUAUUGCACAAUGGGCGGAAGCCUGAUGCAGCGAAGCCGCGUGAGGGAUGACGGCCUUCGGGUUGUAAACCUCUUUCAGCAGGGAAGAAGCGAAAGUGACGGUACCUGCAGAAGAAGCACCGGCUAACUACGUG